rnacentral:rRNA from 1 species
UACGGGGGGGGUAAGCGUUGUUCGGAAUUACUGGGCGUAAAGGGCUCGUAGGCGGCCAACUAAGUCAGACGUGAAAUCCCUCAGCUUAACUGGGGAACUGCGUCUGAUACUGGAUGGCUUGGAUUCGGGAGAGGAAUGCGGAAUUCCAGGUGUAGCGGUGAAAUGCGUAGAUAUCUGGAGGAACACCGGUGGCGAAGGCGGCAUCCUGGACCGAGAUUGACACUGAUGAGCGAAAGCUAGGGGAGCAAACGGG